CCCCGCAACUGUCCCAUGUAUGAUGCUUCUCUCCCUGAGUUCACGUGGUCUCGUUGUUCAACACCCACCUAUGAGUGAGAACAUACAGUGCUCAGCUUUCUGUUCUUGGGUUAGUUUGCUGAGAAUGAUGGCUUCCAGAUUCAUCCAAGUCCCUACAAAGGACAUGAACUCAUCGUUUUUUAUGGCUGUCUAAUAUUCUGUGGUGUAUAUGUACCACAUUUUCUUUGUCCAGUCUAUCAUUGAUGGGCAUUUGGGUUGGUUCCAGGUCUUUGCUAUUGUACACAGGGCUGCAAUGAACAUAUGUGUGCAUGUGUCUUUAUAGUAGAACUAUUUAUAGUUCUUUGGGUAUAUACUCAAUAGUGGGAUUGUUGGGUCACAUGGAAUUUCUAUUUCUAGAUCCUUGAGAAAUCGCCACACUGUUUUCCACAAUGGUUGAAUUAAUUUACAUUCCCACCAACUGUGUAAGAGUGUUCCUAUCUCUCCAUAUCCUCUCCAGCAUCUGUUGUCUCCCAAUUUUUUAAUGAUCACCAUUCUAACUGGCGUGAGAUGAUAUCUUAGUGUGGUUUUGAAUUGCAUUUCUCUAAUGACCAGUGAUGAUGAGCAUUUUUUCAUGUUUGUUGGCCUCAUAUAUGUCCUCUUUUGAAAAGUGUCUGUUCAUAUUCUUUGCCCACUUUUGAGUGGGGUUGUUUGUUUUUUUCUUGUUUAUCUGUUUUAGUUCUUUGUAGAUUCUGGAUAUUAGCCCUUUGUCAGAUGGGUGGAUUGCAAAAAUUUUUUCCCAUUCUGUUGGUUGCUGAUUCACUCUAAUGAUAGUUUCUUUUGCUGUGCAGAAGCUCUGGAGUUUAAUUAGAUCCCAUUUGUCUAUCCUGGCUUUUAUUGCCAUUGCUUUUGGUGUUUUAGUCAUGAAGUCUUUGCCUAUGCCUAUGUUCUGGAUGGUUUUGCCUACGUUUUCUUCUAGUGUUUUUACAGUGUUAGGUUUUAUGUUUAAAUCUUUGAUCCAUCUGGAGUUAAUUUUACUAUAAGGUGACAGGUAGGGGUCCAGUUUCUGCUUUCUGCACAUUGCUAGCCAGUUUUUCCAACACCAUUUAUUAAACAUGGAGUCCUUUCCUCAUUGCUUGUUUUUGCUGGGUUUGUCAAAGAUCAGAUGGUUGUAGAUGCAUGGUGUUUCUUCUGGGGUCUCUGUUUUGUUCCAUUGGUCUAUGUCUCUGUUUUGGUAUCAGUACCAUGCUGUUUUGACUACUGUAGCCUUGUAGUAUAGUUUGAAGUCUGGCAGUGUGUGCCUCCAGCUUUGUUCUUUUUGGUCGGGAUUGUCUUGGCUAUGUGGGAUCUCUUGUGAUUCCAUAUGAAGUUUAAAGUGGUUUUUUUCCAGUUCUGUGAAGAAGGUCAUUGGUAGCUUGAUGGGGAUAGCAUUUGAUCUACAGAUUACUUUGCACAAUAUGGCCAUUUUCACGAUAUUGAUUCUUCCUAACCAUGAGAAUGGAAUGUUUCUCCAUCUGUUUGUGUCCUCUGUUGAGCAGUGGUUUGUAGUUCUCCUUGAAGAGGUCCUUUAUAUCCUUUGUUAAUUGUAUUCCUAGGUAUUUUAUUCUCCUUGUAGCAAUUGUGAAUGGGUGUUCAGACAACUCUUGACUUGGCUCUCUGUUUGUCUGUUAUUGGUAUGUAGGAAUGCUUGUGACUUUUGCACAUUGAUUUUAUAUCCUGAGACUUUGCUGAAGUUGCUUAUCAGUUUCAGGAGAUUUUGGGCUGAGACGAUGGGGUCUUCUAGAUAUACAAUAUGUCAUCUGCAAAUAGAGACAGUUUGACUUCCCUCCUUUCCUAAUUGAAUACCCUUUAUUUCUUUUUCUUGCCUGAUUGCUCGGGCUAGAACUUCCAAUACUAUGUUGAAUAGGAGUGGUGAGAGAGGGCAUCCUUGUCUAGUACCUGAUUUCAAAGGGAUUCUUCCAGCUUUUGCCUGUUCAGUAUGUUAUUGGCUGUAGGUUUGUCAUAUAUAGCUUUUAUCAUUUUAUAAUACGUUCCAUCAAUACCUCGUUUAUUGAGAGUUUUUAGCAUGAAGGCUGUUGAAUUUUAUCAAAGGCCUUCUCUGCAUCUAUUGAGAUAAUCAUGUGGUUUUUGUGUUUGAUUCCGUUUAUGUGAUGGAUUACAUUUAUGGAUUUACGUAUGUUGAAUCAGCCUUGCAUCACCAGGAUGAAGCCUACUUGGUCGUGAUGGAUAAGCUUCUUGAUGUGCUGUUGCAGUCUGUUUGCCAGUAUUUUUUUGAAGAUUUUUGCAUCAAUAUUCACUAUUGAUAUCAGCUUAAAGUUUUCUUUUUUAGUUAAGUUUCUGCCUGGUUUUGGUAUCAGGAUAAUGUUGGUCUCAUAAAAUGAGUUAGGGAGGAUUCCCACCUUUUGUAUUGUUUGAUACCGUUUCAGAAGGAAUAGAACCAGCUCCUCUUUGUACAACUGGUAGAAUUUGGCUGUGAACCCAUCAGGACCUGGACUUUUUUUGAUUGGUAGGCUACUGAUUCCUGCCUCUACUUCAGCCCUUGUUGUUGGUCUAUUCAGGGUUUCAGCUUCCUCCUGGUUUAGUUUUGGUAGAGUACAAGUGUCUAGGAAUUUAUCCACUUCUUCCUGGUUUACUGGUUUAUGUGAGGAGAGCUAUUUGUAGUAAUCUCUGAUGGUAGUGUGUAGUUCUGUGGGAUCAGUGGUGAUAUCCACUUUAUCAUUUUUUAUUGCAUCUAUUUGAUUCUUCUCCCUUUUCUUUUUUAUUAAUCUGGCUAGUUGUCUGUCUAUUUUGUUGAUCUUUUCAAAAAACCAGCUCCUGGAUUUAUGGAUUUUUUUGAAGGGCUUUUUGUGUUUCUAUCUCCUCCAGUUCUGCUCUGGUCUUAGUUAUCUCUUGUCUUCCACUAGCUUUUGAUUUUUUUUUGAUCUUGCUCUGCUAUUUCUUUCAAUUUUGAUGAUAGGGUGUCAAUUUAGAUCUUUCCUCUCUUCUCUGGUGGGCAUUUAUUGCUAUAAAUUUCCCUUUCUAUUAUGCUUUAAAGGUGUCCCAGAGAUUCUGGUAAGUUGUAUCUUUAUUCUGCUUGGCUUCAAAGAACAUCUUUAUUUCUGCCUGCAUUUCAUUGUUUAUCCAGUCAACAUUCAGAAGCAAGUUGCUCAGUUUCCAAGUGGUUGUGUGGGUUUGAGGGUGUUUCUUGAUCCUGAGUUCUAGUCUGAUUGCGCUGUGGUCUGAUAGACUGUUUUUUUGGUUUUUUUUUUUGAGAUGGAGUUUUGCUCCUGUUACCUAGGCUGGAGUGCAAUGGCGCGAUCUUGGCUCACUGCAACUUCCACCUCCUGGGUUCAGGCAAUUCUCCUGCCUCAGCCUCCUGAGUAGCUGGGAUUACAGGCACACGCCAUUGUGCCCAGCUAAUUUUUUUGUAUUUUUAGUAGAGACGGGGUUUCACCAUGUUGACCAGGAUGGUCUCGAUCUCUUGACCUCGUGAUCCACCCUCCUCAGCCUCCCAAAGUGCUGGGAUUACAGGCGUGAGCCACUGCACCCGGCCCAUAGAUUGUUUGUUAUAUGAUUUCUGUUCUUUUGCAUUUGCUGGGGAGUGAUUUGCUUCCAAUGAUAUGGUCAGUUUUAGAGUAAGUACAAUGUGGUGCUGAGAAAAAUGUAUAUUCUGUGGAUUUGGGGUGGAGCGUUCUGUAUAUGUCUAUUAGAUCCGCUUGGUCCAGCUCUGCAUUCAAGUCCUGGAUGUCCUUGUUAAUUUUCUGUCUUGUUGAUCUGUCUAAUAUUGACAGUGGAGUAUUGAAGUCUCCCACUAUUAUUGUGUGGGAGUCUAAAUCUCGUUUUAGGUUGAUAAGAACUUGCUUUAUGUAUCUGGGUGCUCCUGUGUUGGGGACAUAUAUAUUUAGGAUAGCUAGCUCUUCCUGUUGGAUUGAUCCUUUUACCAUUAAGCUCUGACUCUAGUGGGUUGUGUAGCCAGUGCCACAGUCUGAGAUGAACCCUGAAUGAUCUAGCCCAGUGGAGGAAAGGCACAACGCACCACUAGAGGGGUGGGACUAGGCUACGUGUUUUAACAAAAAACACAGGAAGCCUAGGUAGCAACAGGACAGUGUUCUUGACAACCCAGCAGCACCUACAAGUCAGCGGAAGAGGUGGGCUUAAUCUCCCAGCAUAAACAAAAAAGACACAGGAAGCUUCCCAAGUAACCUGAAGGAGUCCCUAGAAACCCAGUAGUGCCCCCACAGGCAGACAAGCGACCUCAUCAAGCAGCUCUCUGACACCACAGCCAGGUAAAUCCACAAAGAUGGGAAGAAACCAGAACAAAAAAGGUGAAACCAUCACAGACCAGAAAACCUCUUCUCCUUCAAGGGACCACAACUCCUCAACAACACAGGAUCACAACUUGACUGAGAAGGAGUGUGAAGAAUUGAUGAAAACAGGAUUCAGAAAGGAACACAUUCUAACUCAAUGCAAAGAAAGCAAAAACCUUGAAAAAAGUUUAGACGAAAUGCUAUCUAGAAUAACCAGCUUAGAGAAGAACAUAAAUGACUUGAUGGAGUUGAAGAACACAGCACGAGAACUACGUGAAGCAAACACAAGUUUUAAUAGCCAAAUUGAUCAAGCAGAAGAAAGGAUAUCAGAGAUUGAAGAUUAACUCAAUGAAAUAAAAAGAGAAGGCAAUACAAGAGAAAAAAGAGUGAAAAGAAAUGAACAAAGCCUCCAAGAAAUACGGGAUGAUGUGAAAAAACUGAAUCUACUCUUGAUCAGUGUACCUGAAUAUGACAGGGAGAAUGAAUCCAAGCUGGAAAACAACACACUCCAGGAUAUUAUCCCGGAGAACUUCCCAAGCCUAGCAAGGCAGUCCAAAUUUCAAAUUCAAGAAAUACAGAGAACUCUACAAAGAUAUUUCUCAAGAAGAGCAACCCCAAGGCAUGUAAUCGUCAGAUUCACCAGGGUCAAAAUGAAGGAAAAAAUGCUAAGGGCUGCCAGAGAGAAAGGUCAGGUCACCCACAGAGAGAAGCCAAUCAGACUCACAGCAGAUCUCUUGACAGCAACUCUACAAGCCAGAAGAGAGUGGAGGCCAAUAUUCUUCUUAAAAAAAGGAACUUUCAACCCAGAAUCUCAUAUCCAGCCAAACUAAGCUUCAUAAGUGAAGGAAAAGUAAAAUCCUUUAUGGACAAGCAAUUAUUGAGAGAUUUUGUCACCACCAGAUCCGCCCUACAAGAGCUCCUGAAAGAAACACUAAGCAUGGAGAGGAACAAGUACCAGUCACUGCUAAAGCAAACCAGUUGGCAAAGACCAAAAAUGCAAUGAAGAAAAUGAGUCAACUAAUGAGAAAACCAGCCGGUAACAAAAUGGCAGGAUCAAAUUCACACAUAAAAAUAUUAACAUUGAGGCCAGGCCUGGUGGCUCAUGCCUAUAAUUCCAGCAGUUUGGGAGGCCAAGGCGGGUGGAUCAUGAGGUCAAGAGAUCGAGACCAUCGAUCAAAAAGGUGAAACCCUGUCUCUACUAAAAAUACAAAAAUUAGCUGGGCAUGGUGGUGUGCGCCUGUAGUCCCAGCUACUUGGGAGGCUGAGGCAGGAGAAUUGCUUGAACCCAGAAGGCAGAGGUUGCAGUGAGCCGAGAUCGUGCCAUUGCACUCCAUUCUAGGUAACAAGAGCGAAACUUCAUCUCAAUAUAUAUAUAUAUAUAUUUAUAUACACAAAAACAUGGAAUGUAAAUGGUCUAAACACCCCAAUCAAAAGACACAGACUGGAAAACUGGAUAAAAAGUCAGAACCUAUCAGUGUGCAGUAUUCAAGAAACCCAUCUCACAUACAAAGACACACAAAGACUCAAAAUAAAGGGAUGAAAGAAGAUUUACCAAGCAAAUGGAGAACAAAAAAAAAGCAGGGGUUGCAGUCCUAGUCUCUGAUAAAAUGAACUUCAAACCAACAGAAUCAAAAGAGACAAAGAAGGACAUUACAUAGUGGUAAAAGGACAACUCUAUUUCUUAAAGCAGGGUAGAGGAAAACAUGAAGAUGGGUCAAAAGGGACCUGUACACUGACCCUUAAGGAAGAUUUGCAGAAGAUAUUGUCACACAACACUUUGACCUUCACCUCUUUGGCCUACAUUCAUCCAUGUGGCCACAGCUAGGUGGAAAUGUGCCAGCUGGAAAUCAGAAGUCCAUUAGUAUGCAUAUGAGAUGUUGUGGAUUGAAUUGUGUCCCCCAACAAGAUAUGUUGAAGUUCUAAUCCCCAGUUUCUCAGAAUGUGGCAUUAUUUGGAAAUAGGGACAUUGCAGGUAUAAUUAGUCAAGAGGACAUCAUACUUGUGUAGGGUCAAUCUCUUAUCCAAUAUGAUUGGUGUCCUUAUUAAAAAAAGAAAAAAGAAAAAGAAACAGAAAAUUCCAGGUGUGAUAAUUCACACCUGUAAUCUCAGCACUGUGGGAGGCUGAGAUGGGUGGGGAUCACCUGACCUCAGGAGUUGGAGACCAGCCUGGGCAACAUGACAAAACCCCAUCUCUACAAAAAAAAUACAAAAAUUAAUUAGGCAUGGUGGCACCUGCCUGCAGUCCCAGCUACUUGGGACUGAAGCAGGGGUCCUGAGGUAGGAGGAUUGCUUGAGCCAGGAAGGUCGAGGCUGCAGUGAGCUGUUUUUGCACUACUGCACUCCAGACUGGGUGACAAAGCAAGACCCUGUUUCAGGGGGAAAAAAAGGAAAAGAAAAGAAGAAGAAGAUAGAAACACACAGGAGAAAUACCAAGGACUGCCGGCCAUCACUAGGAGCAAGGAGGAAGACGUGGAACAGAUUCUCCCACACAGCCCCCACAGGUAACUAACCCCACUGACACUUGGAUUUCAGAGGUGUAUCCUCUAGAACUAAGAGACAAUAUAUUUCUGUCACUUCAGCCACCCCGUUUGUGGUACUUUGUUGUGGCAACCUAAGCAGACUAAUGCAAAGGAGAAAGCAGACAGUGGGAGACCACUAAUGGUUGCUACCGCAAUUUCCCAUCAAUAGUAUAAUUCCAGUAAUUUGUUCUCUGCUAUGUUUCUUCAAUUUAAACCUUCAAGUCUAUUUCUCCUCUAUUGAGUAAGCUCUGUAAGUGGUCUUACUGUCUCCGCAUUUGCAUCUCCAUGUCACCCUUAUCACUGCUACUAGGAUUAUCUUCCCGAAUAUAUAGAUCAGAUUAGAUUAUUCCUCUCCUCAAAAAUUGUCAGUGACUUCCCAUGACCUGCAGGAAAUCGCACUCCCUUAGCAUGGCAUUCAGCAUCUUCUGUGGUUUAGCUGACCUUAACCCAGUUUUUCAACUUUGUAACAGCAGCGGAAUAAUUAUGUAUUCCGUUGUUAUAGGAACACUUAUUUCCUCCCCAACUCAGCAUUUAUUUUUACUCUUCCAUACCCCUUGAGCACUAAUGAUUCAUAUUACCUUCUCCAUCUGCUGAAAUUCUACUCAUCUUCCAAGGGCCAGCUCUGGUUGAAGUUCUAUAAUAAUGCCUAUAUUUGCUUAGUACUCUACCACCUAGAAAGCACUUUCACAUUAUACUAAAUGCAAUCAUGGCAUCUUCUCAAGAUGUCUGUGGCAUCUCAUCCAUUGGGCAUUCCUGUACAAUGACUGUCCCCAAUAUAAUAUGAAUUGUCCUGGGAUGGUCUUCACAUCCAAGUAGCCAAUCCAUAGGUGAGGCUGUCAGUGGGCAUUCCCUCUCCUAUGUAAGAUGGAAAGCUUAUUUUCCGAUAGUUUGAGAUAUGUGAAGCAGCUAAUUAAACUAUCCUCUUUGGACACAGACUCUGUCCAUGGAAGGCAAGGCUUUGGGGAAAUUGAUAGCCUCUGGGAAAAGCAGUAUUACAGAAAUGUGGAAUACAGGGAUGAUAGGAUGGGUUGAUACUCUUACCAUAUUAAGUAACUUCUUCCCUUGAAUUGAAGGCAGCUAAAAUGCCUACAGUCCAUUUAUUGGGCCCGUGUGUUAGUCAUCCACCAAGCUAGUUGAAAGUCAGUUUUUAAAACUAGCAUAAUAAACAUCCAGCACAAAAGGGGAGUGCAACAAAAUUUAACUAAGCACCAUUAUUUUGUUUUCACGAGACAUGGGAUUUGCCAUGAGAGAGAUUUGCCAUUGAGCCACCCUGCCAAGUGCCAAAAGCCAGUUUAAAUUAUCUGUGAAGCUGGCCAUCUGAGAGCCCAGAGAACACCAGCUUCCCUCACCCGAGGGUACCUUAGCAGGCCUGUCAGAACCAAAGAGUGUUCUGACACCUUGUUCCCCCAGGAGCUGAGCAUCCAAUUGCCAUUUCCCUCAAAAAUUCACCCGUCACAAAAGCAGAUGCAUGGCCCACAUCAUUGAUAUCUAGGCUCUGGCUGUAGAAGAUCAUCAGACCCAUGAGGACGUUUGGAAGAUUACCUGGAAUAUAAUGAGGUGACUGGGCCAAGCCAUGAUUCUGAGUCAAAUCAAAAUCUACUGGAAGGACUGCUGAGACAUAUUUCACUAGCGUAGUCCUUUUCUUUCCCCAUUUUUCUGAAUUCACUAUGUGUAUCAUCGCUGGAGGUGGAUAGCUGUCUUAUAAGUGUGAGAGAAAGAACAGAGAAUUUCAGAGAUAUUUGCCUUGACAUCAACAACCUGCUGAACCAAGUGAACAGUGACCUCCUUCCAGACUUCUUGUUAUGUUUUUUUGUGAACAUAAGCUUUCAAUUCAUUUGGAUAAACACCAGGGAACACAAUUGCCAGAUCAUAUGGCUGGAGUGCAGUGAUAUGAUCAUGGCUCACUGAAGCUUUCACCUCCCAGGCUCAAAUGAUCCUCCUACCUCAGCCUAGUGGGUAGCUGGGACUGCAGGAGGAAGCUGGUGGAAGAUAAUUGGAUCAUGGGGGCAGUUUCUCCCAUACUAUUCGCGUGGCUGUAAGGCUCAAGAGAUCUGAUGAUUUUAUAAGGGGAAAUCCCUUGCAUUUGAUCCUCAUUCUGUCUUGCCCGAUGCUGUGUAAGAAGCGCCUUUCACCUUUUGCCAUGAUUUUGAGGCCUCCCCAGCCAUGUGGAACUGCACCCGACUACCUUACUUCACUUCAUUACAUCCUUACAGCAACCUGGUGCUUAAAGUGCUAUCAUCACAAGAAUGAGGAAACAGUUGAGAAAAGCCAGUUGUGAUGGCUAUGGUCAUGCGUUAUACAACUGGCAGGCAUAAGCAGCGACUCUAGACCCUGAGUGCUUCUCCAUUGCAGCCUUGUCUGUUUUUUCAGAUAUUGGUACACGUGAAGACAGAAAGUGAUACAAUUAAGUUAAAGAUCACUCGAUGAGAGCAUACUGGAUUAUGAUGAACCCUAUAUUCAAUGACAAGUGUCAUUACAAGAGAAAAGCAGAGAGGACACAAAGAGGUGACAUGAAGACAGAGGCAGAUUAGAGAGAUGCAUCUACAAGCCAAGAAAUACCAAGAAUGACCAGCAGCCAUCAGAAGCUAGGAGAGGUGCAUGGACUGAAUUCUCCUCAGAGCCUCUAGGAGGAACCAACCCUGCCAGCACCUCGAUUUCGAACACUGACCUCCAGCACUAUGAGAGAAUAAAAUUGUGCAGUUUUCAAAAACAUUUAUUUAUUAUACUUUAAGUUCUUGGAUAUACAUGUGCAGAACAUGCAGGUUUGUUACAUAGGUAUACAUGUGCCAUGGUGGUUUGCUGCACCCAUCAACCCAUUGUCUAGGUUUUAAGCCCCACAUGCAUUAGGUAUUUGUCCCAAUACUCUCCCUCCCCUUUCCUCCUACACCCCUACAGGCCUCGAUGUGUGAUGUUCCCCUCCCUGUGUCCAUGUGUUCUAAUUGUUCAACUCCCACUUAUGAGUGAGAACAUGCAAGGUUUGGUUUUCUGUUCCUGUGUUAGUUUGCUUAGGAUGAUGGUUUCCAGCUUCAUCCAUGUCCCUUCAAAGGAUAUGAACUCAUUCUUUUUUAUAGCUGCAUAGUAUUCCGUGGUAUCUAUAUGCCACAUUUU